rnacentral:rRNA from 1 species
UACAGAGGUCUCAAGCGUUGUUCGGAUUCAUUGGGCGUAAAGGGUGCGUAGGCGGCGUGGUAAGUCGGAUGUGAAAUCUCGGAGCUUAACUCCGAAACUGCAUUCGAUACUGCCGUGCUUGAGGACUGGAGAGGAGACUGGAAUUUACGGUGUAGCGGUGAAAUGCGUAGAUAUUGUAAGGAAGACCAGUGGCGAAGGCGGGUCUCUGGACAGUUCCUGACGCUGAGGCACGAAGGCCAGGGGAGCAAACGGG